UCAUGUGCCAGUAAGGCAACGCUAGUAAUGAUCACGCUCAAAUGGUGCCUUUUAAGUGCCACUGGCACGGAAGCCGGUUAGCCGCUCUGUCAAUAGUCACACUCUUAUGGUGCUCUUUGCAGCCCGCUAGCACGGACGCCAGUCAUCUAAUUUGAUUUUGAUUUUGAUUUCACUUGCCUCAACAGGUCUUCGCAAGCAGAGUUUUAGUGUCCAUAGAAGUAAUAGAGA